AGAGUGGAAAUGGCGAACCAACCGAUGGAUGAACCAUUUUGAUCCAUAUGCGAAUUCACGCGAUAGAUGAACGUCUGUUCCGUUUUCCAGGAACCACACAUCCAGUUUCACUACUAGUACACCAUAUCCCGCCUUUUCCCGUUUUCCAUAAGCAAAGCAGCGUCAGGCGUCAGCUGGUCUCAGUAGAGCUCUUAAACCCUUCUCCACUCCAUUAAGGUUCAUGUCUGCCUGAAAAGUGGGUUCGGGGUUCCUCUGAUUCCAUCAGAGCUCACGCGAGCAAACUUUCGUUAAUGGCCGAGUUUCGGGUACUUUGAAGUCGUGAUUGUUCGUUCUUCGAUAUAGUCUAAUAUGUAUUGAGUUUAUGAUAUUAAAUUAAAUAGUUGCUUUUUUGUUUAAACGGGUUUUGGUGAACAUUGGUUUUCUUGUUCCGCUUACUAACAAUCUGGGGGAAGAUGGUUCAUCCAGAAAGUACCAAUUUUCAAAGGAACCAACGUUGUUGGUCGCAAUGAUAUCUCCGUUUCUGACAAAAGAAUGAGUCGUAAGCAAAUUAUUCUCGAUACUUCGGCUGAAGGUUCCGCCGAUGUAACUGUGGAGGGACAGAAUCCAAUUGUCAUUAAUACUAGCGAUCGGAGGAAGAAGCUAUGUUCUGAAGAUAAGAUUAGGAUUGCCAAUGGUGAUAUUCUUGAGCUGAUUCCUGGGCAUUAUGUUUUUAAGUAUAAAUUUUUGCCUGUUCAAAGACAUAUAUCUUCAUCCGAGACACUUGAAAAGGUCUUCAUCCAAAGGAAAAGAUGUUAGUGAAGAUGAGAGAUUAACUCUGAAGAGGAAGCGACAAAUUUCUGAAGAUGAAGCCUUGCCAAGACCUUCGCAGGAUCUGGAAACGAAGAAGGUGAUUGGGAUUGGCUGUGAGAUGAAUGGAGUUUACCUGUUUGCACAUCCAUAGGGGAAGCAGAGUGAAUUGGUUUCUUCUGACUUCAGCAAAUCUCAGAAAAGCUGCUUGGGGUGCACUCCAGAAGAAUAAUUCCCAACUGAUGAUCCAUUCUUAUGAGCUGGGGGUGUUAUUUUUGCCAUCUUUGAGUAAAGAUCAUUGCUAUGUGAUGAUGCGCGAUCUAGUGCUCCCUACUGGAGGACAACUCGGACAUCGGGAUACUGAGGUCGCCUAAUUGAGCUGCAAGAAAAGGAUGUCUGAGUGUCUGGGGUGCUUUACCCGGUGUGGGCACUCUGAUGCUUAAGUUAGCGAGUUGGAGGUUUUUGAGAGAGCUGAAAGCUAUUUGCUAGAGUAUUGAUAGAGCUAAGUUGCAUGUACCUUGUAAGGCUGGAGGCAAGGCCUUUAUAUAGGCGAGUUGCCGUGGACCUUAUGAUGCGUGUCCAAGAUACUUGGCCUAUCUGGUUUGGAGUUGGUUUCGCACCCGAAGACGGACUCUGCAUAAGCUGAUAAGGCUUAUCCAGGUCCGUCUGAAUUGGAUGGGAAUAAGAUGAACUCUGUUGACGUGGUGCCGUGAUCCCAAGGAGAUCGGAGACAGCUGUUUUUCUUCUGGAUAGAGGUUACGUGACACUUCGGCAGAUCAGUGCACAUAGUUGAGCUAUUCAAGCCUCCGUCUAGCUGGGUGACCCAAGGUGCGCGAGGUGGCUGGAGUCAUUGAAGUCAUCAAGGUCACUGAGGUAUCACCAUAUCGUUCUGUCACUCCACGUGUCAUCACAUAAUUUGAUGGGCCAAAUUAUCCCUCAUCACUAUGGAUUUUCUUGUACAGAUGAUAGUGAUUCUGCACAGGGUAUAAGGGAAUCAUUGCUGACUCUAUGUUGGCAAGGAAAUCAGAGCAAAAAUUCAUCAUCUGAAAUAAUUCUGUUGCCUGUCCCUUAUGAACUCCCUCCACAGCCAUACUCAUCUGAAGAUGUGCCUUGGUCGUGGGACAAGCAAUACUAGUCAGGACCCAUGCGAUACAUGGGCUUUAUUUAUCAGCGAAAUUGAAGAUGGAGCUCUAUGACAUUUCCAAUUAAAUAGUGUCAAUCUAGUUUAUCCGAUCACAAUCUAAGGUUCACUUUAGUGAGGGCUAAUGUCCUAUUCUCUAGAUAAAUUUGUAUUAAUUUUUUGUAUCUUAAUCCUAAUUUUUAUAA